rnacentral:rRNA from 1 species
CCAAUAGCGUAUAUUAAAGUUGUUGCAGUUAAAAAGCUCGUAGUUGAAUUUCGGGAUCAAUAUAUCGGUCGUGCCAUUGGUACGUACUGGUAUCAUUGGUUUCUCCUUUCUGACGAACCAUGAUGUCAUUAGUUUGGUGUUAUGGGAAGUUAGGACUGUUACUUUGAAAAAAUUAGAGUGUUUAAAGCAGGCUUUAGCUUGAAUACAUUAGCAUGGAAUAAUGAAAUAGGACGUUCGAACCUAUUUUGUUGGUUUCUAGGAUCAACGUAAUGAUUAAUAGGGAUAGUUGGGGGCAUUAGUAUUCAAUUGUCAGAGGUGAAAUUCUUGGAUUUAUUGAAGACUAACUACUGCGAAAGCAUUUGCCAAGGAUGUUUUCAUUAAUCAAGAACGAAAGUUAGGGGAUCGAAGACGAUCAGAUACCGUCGUAGUCUUAACCAUAAACUAUGCCGACUAGGGAUCGGAUGAUGUUAAUUUUUUAAUGACUCAUUCGGCGCCUUACG